CAGUUCUUGCUGGAGCUGCUGCAUCUGUCGCCUUGUGUUUUGGCACUUAUUUGUGCCAAAUAUCAUUUAAGUAAAUAUUUAUUUACUUGAGAUAUUAUUCAUAAAUAAGCAAAUAUCCCCUAUUUGAAUCUAAUAAGAAUAGUUAAAAAAUAAAAUUCCAAAAAGAUAAAAAGUCAAACCCCCAGUUCAAGAA